GAUGAACGCUGGCGGCGUGCCUAAUACAUGCAAGUCGAGCGAACGGACGAGAAGCUUGCUUCUCUGAUGUUAGCGGCGGACGGGUGAGUAACACGUGGAUAACCUACCUAUAAGACUGGGAUAACUUCGGGAAACCGGAGCUAAUACCGGAUAAUAUUUUGAACCGCAUGGUUCAAAAGUGAAAGACGGUCUUGCUGUCACUUAUAGAUGGAUCCGCGCUGCAUUAGCUAGUUGGUAAGGUAACGGCUUACCAAGGCAACGAUGCAUAGCCGACCUGAGAGGGUGAUCGGCCACACUGGAACUGAGACACGGUCCAGACUCCUACGGGAGGCAGCAGUAGGGAAUCGUCCGCAAUGGGCGAAAGCCUGACGGAGCAACGCCGCGUGAGUGAUGAAGGUCUUCGGAUCGUAAAACUCUGUUAUUAGUGAAGAACAGAUGUGUAAGUAACUGUGCACAUCGUGACGGUACCUAAUCAGAAAGCCACGGCUAACUACGUG
rnacentral:rRNA from 1 species